rnacentral:rRNA from 1 species
AGCAGCCGCGGUAAUUCCAGCUCCAAUAGCGUAUAUUAAAGUUGUUGCAGUUAAAAAGCUCGUAGUUGAAUUUCGGGAUUAGUACGCUGGUCAUGCCUUUGGUACGUACUGGUGUUACUGGUUCCUACCUUCUGAAGAACCGUUAUGUCAUUAAUUUGGUGUGGCGGGGAAUCAGGACUGUUACUUUGAAAAAAUUAGAGUGUUUAAAGCAGGCUCGCGCUUGAAUACAUUAGCAUGGAAUAAUGAAAUAGGACGUUGAUCCUAUUUUGUUGGUUUCUAGGAUUGACGUAAUGAUUAAUAGGGAUAGUUGGGGGCAUUAGUAUUCAAUUGUCAGAGGUGAAAUUCUUGGAUUUAUUGAAGACUAACUACUGCGAAAGCAUUUGCCAAGGAUGUUUUCAUUAAUCAAGAACGAAAGUUAGGGGAUCGAAGACGAUCAGAUACCGUCGUAGU